rnacentral:lncRNA from 1 species
CCCAACACCUGCCCCCUCUCAGCCCAGCCGCACCCCAGGCCACUCAGGCCCCCAGAAGCCCCUCACAGCCCAGGACUCAUGGAACUUAACUCUGUAUGGUCACCAGGGGGUUAACAUGCCCACCCUCUUAUCUCACUGGGGGUGGGGUCCCCGCCUUAGAGGUGUGUCUUCCCAGGCCAGCCAUGGCAGGUCCCUGGGUCCCAGUGAACCAGGGAAGCCUUCAGGAGAGAGGGGUCACCCAUGGCAGGGCCAGAAAUUCCUUCCUGGUCUUUGUCACUUCCCCUGGCUCCCCGGCUCUCAGGGCCCUGGGCACACAGCUCAGAGCCUCCAUCCCUGCACUGGGUUUUAUCUCAGACAGCAUUAGCCCAAUGCCUGCUGCAUGCCCAUCCCGGGUCAGACGCCCUUAGUACCCAGUCCCACUAAUGCCUCCCCAAAGCCACCGUGAGAGGCAGGCACUAUCAUCACCCCCACCUUACAGAAGAAGCAGCUCACCCAAGGCCACACAGCCCGGAGAUGCCAACGCUGAGUCCCAAAGUUCUGACUGUGCCCGCUCGAUGCCCUGACCCGCUGUUCCUGAAGCUGUUCUCCUGACUCAGCUUCUGCUAAGGUGACAAGACGGAGGCACACAGCCAUCUGACCACACCGCACAAUGAGGCACCAGGAAGGGGAGAGCAACGUAGGGGAAGGGACAGGAAGGGACCUGCAAGACGGGCCUUGAAGGAUGUGUAGGAGUUUGGCAAGAAGAGAAGAGGGCAAAGGGCCCAUUCAGGAAGCAGCAUGGGCGGGGUCCAGGGGAGAAGAGGGCUUGCUGCUGGGUGGGGUAGCCUGGUGGACUGGGUCACCUGGCUCAGGGGCCACCUCCUUCCUGAGGGGCCCAGAGCACCGGGAGUGGAGAGCUGCACGGAAGCAUGGUUCGUGGGGAUCGAGGACGUCGGGGGCACCUGGGUUUUGAGGUUUGAGCCGAGACUCCUCACUUUUUGGCUCAAGUAGAAACAGGUCUGAGAGGGGGUCCAGAUACUGUCACAGACAACCCCCACGGAUGGGUGCCCACCCCCACCAGUCACUGUGGAGGCAGCUGGAUCCACGUGGAAAACACGCCACCAGUGGCUUCUGCUGCUGCUGCAGAGCAGGAAUGAUAAUGUGAUCUGUUGCAUAAGACUGAUGUGAGGACUAAAUGGAAAUGUCAGGACAAAGCACAGCACCCGGGCAAUGUUGGUGUUUCCUAUUCAAGAACUUUACAGAUUUUAUUGCAAGUAAAAAGCACGAAUCCCUCCCCGAUUCGUCCUGCAGGGUCCCAGGUUUGCUGUGGUUCUUUUCUUGUUCUCUAGACUUUUCUUGGGGUUAGCGGUGGCUCAGCCCCCAGCAGGUCACAAGUGUCCCUUUUUACUUCUCUUCGUUCUUGGUGCUCAUGAGGGCUCGGUAACCCGGGCUUUGAGGGCAGAGGGGUCAGAGCUUGGGUCCAACCAGCUUUGCUGCGCUAGAGCCCUCUGCAGCCGCUUGGACUGCACUGCGCCCUCUCGCCCGCACCGAGGCCCCGGCACCUCUCCACCCCUUCGUGGAGUGCACUGCCAUCCACAGACAAAGUCUGCACGUGUGGGGUCAAAGAGAGACCCUCGCGGAGACCCAGAGUGCCGGGAGAGCAGAAGGCAGGGGAGUCCACACAGGGCAAGCAGCAACCAGGCUUCUGAGGACAGGAAAGGAGGGAGCAUCUGGUGGGAAGCUGGCGAGGAGGGGCUGGGAGCUGGUAAAGGGGUAACGGAAGGUCGCCUAGCUCCCUACCCCAAUGGCAGCCGACCCCCACCCCAGCCUGCCGCGCUGCACCCUCUCCUGCACAGGCCUGAACCUGCUGCGGAACCGUCUGUGGGGUCCCAAGUCCACCACAGACCAGGGGCUUCAGCCUGCUGCCUUCCCAGACGCAGGGACCCUGGACGCCUCCACAAGCACCCUGAAUCCUUAUCUGCUGUGGGCGAAGAGGAAAGGCCAGGAAUAAGGGCGCAUGUGGGGCACCCCAGCUCUUCCCAGACGGACAGCGCCGGCUGUCCAGACCCCCGUGGGGGGGAUCCAGUGACACCCACCCCGACGGCCCCACAUCGCCGCCUUCCUGCCUUCCCAGGUCUUCACCCUUCACCAGCGUCCUCUCCGAGCCCUGACUGACAGGAGUUGAGGGCCCGUUUCUGCAAGGAAGAACUUUCAUGCGGUGGCUCCCGCCUGUAAUCCCAGCACUUUGGGAGGCUGAGGCGGGCGGAUCAUCUGAGGUCAGGAGCUCGAUGAGACCAGCCUGACCAACAUGGUGAAACCCCGUCUCUACUAAAAAUACAAAAAUUAGCCGGGUGUGGUGGCGGGUGCCUGUAGUCCUAGCUACUCAGGAAGCUGAGGCAGGAGAAUCGCUUGAACCUGGGAGGCGGUGAGCUGAGAUCGCGCCGCUGCACUCCAGCCUGGGAGACAGAGCGAGACUCCGCAAAA